GAAUGCAAGCUCACCUGUGGCAAGCCUGGUGUCGGGUCUGGCACUCUGGACAGGAAAACGUGUUCUUGUAUGUGUGAGCUGGGGACAGGUCCGAACUGUGACGAGGAGUGUGCGAACCCGAUUUGGCACGAAGACGGUUUUGAUGAGUGUGCGUACUGGGAGGGGGUACCCGGAGACUGCGAUAUUCACAGAGAGUGGCACGUGCGCUACUGCCCUGCUAACUGUCACUUCGGCUGCCGGACGAAGUGAGUCUGUAACGCCAAGUGUGUGCAGUUGCUGUCGAGAAGGAAUGUCAUCUAAAGCAGCAAUAUCAUCAUCUGCAUCUUUUACAUGUACAUCCUUUUGCCAUGCAUUAAGAAAUGUUGAGAAUUGUUGGAACAUAUUUAAGCUUCGCAUAUGUAUACAUUUACGUCCUUUUACCAUGCAUGUAGAAAUGUUGAGAAUUGUUGGAACAUAAUCUUCGCCUAUGUAGAAUCCGCAAAGGUUUUUUUUUAUUCGAAACUGAACACAAGAAAUGCGAGGUCUUAUCUGUUAGAUUUCUUCACUCAUUGUUUCUUCUUUCGUAUCAAUAUCUACUGAAUAUUUGCUGUAUUAGUCUGUCGGGAUUUUGUCAGUAUGGUGACAUAAAAUGUAAAUGUGACUUGGAAGGAACACCUGUUUUGUCAAUACAUACCUUUCACUGUAACGGAAAAACAUGAUAAUCGUUGAUAAAUUAUACAACAUGCAAAUCUUUGUCAACUGUUACAUUGAUAAGGAAGGCAAAUGAAUUUUAUUCAUUCAUUCAGCAGUAUGUAAUUCAAAAUAUUGACAUGUUGCAAAUAACCUAUGAAUUUUCUACAAAAUCAGAAUGAAUGUACAAGAAAAAUAUUACUAUGUAAACUAGUUUUUGCUUGAAACAAUAAAUAUUGGUGACAUUUCUGACCAUACACAAUUGUAGUCUGAUUUUAAUUAACUUAUUGGUAAUGAGCACCUUAAGACCAAAUCUUUCACCAUUUAAAAAAUUAUGAAUAAAUUAAUCGGACAUUAACAUAAUCUUUAAUAACAUCUGCAUUGACAUUGCACAUAAAACAAGGCAGGCCUUAUGCAUAAAUACAUUGUAUUUUUAUCAAUUAUGUAUCAGCUAUGCAUAGCGUUAUGGACUGCAAAAUUAUGUACUAGUAUGCAACCAAAAAUCAUCAAUACACUAAGUUUGGAACUUUCCACAUUUAACUUUUUUUCUUCUUGUACAUAAACAAUAGUCGAUCUUCAAUGAGGAGGCAUAAAACAUUCUUGUUUAGGAGACACCACUAGUUAGCUAACUAAUAGUUUCUGCUAGGUAUAGAUGACCAUGUAUAUAAUAGGUAUACUUUUAGGGGGGUUCACAUCUGUGAGUAUAUCAAGUCUGUUUGAGUUCCAUAUUGAGAUUUUUUGGCUAUAUAUGGUAAAGUUUGCAUCCAAAGAAGUCAUUUUUAGUUCAAUUACCAGGCUGCACAAUGAUGAGUCAAAGUAAAAAAAAAAA